AACGUACGCUGGCGGCACGCCUAACACAUGCAAGUCGAACGAAGUAGCAAUACUUAGUGGCAGACGGGUGAGUAACAUGUAGGUAUCUGCCCUUUGGCCUGGAAUAACACGAGGAAACUUGUGCUAAUACCGGAUAAGUCUUUACGGAGAAAGCUUUAUGCACCAUUGGAUGAGCCUGCACUUGAUUAGUUUGUUGGUAGGGUAAUGGCCUACCAAGACUGUGAUCAAUAGCUGAUUUGAGAGGAUGAUCAGCCACAUUGGGACUGAGACACGGCCCAAACUCCUACGGGAGGCAGCAGUGGGGAAUCUUGCACAAUGGAGGAAACUCUGAUGCAGCGAUGCCGCGUGAGUGAAGAAGGCCCUUGGGUUGUAAAGCUCUUUCGUCGGGGAAGAAAAUGACUGUACCCGAAUAAGAAGGUCCGGCUAACUUCGUGCCAGCAGCCGCGGUAAUACGAAGGGACCUAGCGUAGUUCGGAAUUACUGGGCUUAAAGAGUUCGUAGGUGGUUGAAAAAGUUAGUGGUGAAAUCCCAGAGCUUAACUCUGGAACUGCCAUUAAAACUUUUCAGCUAGAGUAUGAUAGAGGAAAGCAGAAUUUCUAGUGUAGAGGUGAAAUUCGUAGAUAUUAGAAAGAAUACCAAUUGCGAAGGCAGCUUUCUGGAUCAUUACUGACACUGAGGAACGAAAGCAUGGGUAGCGAAGAGGAUUAGAUACCCUCGUAGUCCAUGCCGUAAACGAUGUGUGUUAGACGUUGGAAAUUUAUUUUCAGUGUCGCAGGGAAACCGAUAAACACACCGCCUGGGGAGUACGACCGCAAGGUUAAAACUCAAAUGAAUUGACGGGGACCCGCACAAGUAGUGGAGCAUGUGGUUUAAUUCGAAGAUACGCGCAGAACCUUACCAACACUUGACAUGUUCGUCGCGACUCUAAGAGAUUAGAGUUUUCGGUUCGGCCGGACGAAACACAGGUGCUGCAUGGCUGUCGUCAGCUCGUGUCGUGAGAUGUUGGGUUAAGUCCCGCAACGAGCGCAACCCCCACUUUUAGUUGCCAUCAUUAAGUUGGGCACUCUGAAAGAACUGCCAGUGAUAAGCUGGAGGAAGGUGGGGAUGACGUCAAGUCCUCAUGGCCCUUACGUGUUGGGCUACACACGUGCUACAAUGGUAUCUACAACAGGAAGCAAGACUGCGAAGUUAAGCAAAUCCCUAAAAGAUACCUCAGUUCGGAUUGCACUCUGCAACUCGAGUGCAUGAAGCUGGAAUUACUAGUAAUCGUGGAUCAACGUGCCACGGUGAAUGCGUUCCCGGGUCU
rnacentral:rRNA from 1 species